UUGCUCUUCAACGAGGAAUGCCUAGUAAGCGCAUGUCAUCAGCAUGCGUUGAUUACGUCCCUGCCCUUUGUACACACCGCCCGUCGCUACGACCGAUUGAAUGGCUUAGUGAGGCCUUCGGACUGUCCCAGGGAGGUCGGCAACGACCACCCAGGGACGGAAAGUUGGUCAAACUUGGUCAUUUAGAGGAUGUAAAAGUCGUAACAAGGUUUCCGUAGGUGAACCUGCGGAAGGAUCAUUAAAGAGUAAGGGUCUCUGGCCCGAACCUCCAACCCUCUGUUGUUAUAACUACUUCGUUGCUUUGGCGGGACCGCGAAGGUUCUCCCGAGCGCGCCAGUCUCCGGACAGGCGAGCGCCCGCCAGAGUCUAACCAAACUCUUGUUUUAAACCAGUCGUCUGAGUAUAAAAUUUUAAUUAAAUUAAAACUUUCAACAACGGAUCUCUUGGUUCUCGCAUCGAUGAAGAACGCAGCGAAAUGCGAUAAGUAAUGUGAAUUGCAGAAUUCAGUGAAUCAUCGAAUCUUUGAACGCACAUUGCGCCCCUUGGUAUUCCGAGGGGCAUGCCUGUUCGAGCGUCAUUACACCACUCAAGCACCGCUUGGUAUUGGGCAUCGUCCGUCGAAAGGCGGGCGUGCCUCGAAGACCUCGGCGGGGUUUCUCCAACUUCGGGCGUAGUAGAGUUAAAUCAAAACGUCUUAUAAGCUUGGUGAGAUCUCAUUGCCGUUAAACCUUUUAUUUUUUCAGGUUGACCUCGGAUCAGGUAGGGAUACCCGCUGAACUUAAGCAUAUCAAUAAGCGGAGGA
rnacentral:rRNA from 1 species